UGGCAGUAUCAUUUGCUAAAAGGCCAUUA
rnacentral:piRNA from 1 species